AUUUGAUUACAAAUCAUUUUAUUAUUCUUUGAGAAUUACUGGCUAACUAACCAACUAGCUAAAUAAACCCUUGCUUGGGAUGAAAGGAUUCUGUAACUCAUUAGCAGAAGAAAAAUAAACAAAAAACAACAACAACAACAAUAACAACACACACACGAGUAUUUCAAAGAUGUGACGAUACGCUUUCAUGACGCCACUGCUUAGUCUAUGACGUCAUUUCAAUGAAUUGUUCUUUUUUUUUUUUUUUUUUUACAA